GUGUGAGUGUUCGUGAAUGUGUUCACGCAGAUAUAAGAAGUUGGGGUUGGGGUUGAUGAUCCACAUGAUGGUGAUGGACCAGGACAGCUCUGGACCUCCUGACUGGCAGCUCCAUCCUCAACCUCCCUUCCUGUCCUUCACACAUGUGCAGGCAGAGGCAGUUUUCUGAAGGAUGGUUAAUGUCAGUACCAACAUGUUGUGAUGGAGGCUUCCACCUGAGCUGAACACAGAAACUUGCACACAGUGAUGGAAGCAGUCGUUCCUGUUCAGCAUUGAUAUGCCGGUAAUGGGUUUGAUGAGCCACAGCAUGGUGAUGGGCAAUCAGCAUCAGGACCAGGGCCGCUCACAAGGAGAACCUCCUGCCCUGCCUCUUCAUCCUCAACCUCCAAUCUUCCUGCUCUUCACACAUGUGCAGGCACAGAGCCAGUUUUCAGAGGGAGGGCUGAUGACACCAGCAACUUCGGAUCUGAAACCUGAUCAACCCAGCACCAACCACUGUGCCGCUCCUCCUCUGCCAACUGCACCACAUGGCUCCACCAUCUCAAAAAGGCACAGACACUACUCCACUUCCUGCGAAGGAUGAGAGAAGAGCCGACCUCCCCACAACGGCACUCACCACCUUCUACAGGGGUGUCAUUGAGAGCAUCCUGACCAGCAGCCUCUCUGUCUGGCAUGGCAGCCGUCAAGCUGAAGACUAGAAGGCAGUAGAGAGUGGUGAGGACAGCAGAAAAGCUCAUAAGAUC